UAAUUAUAAUCUUUAGGUAGUAAAAAAUUUUUAUAAAAACCUAUGUAGUUUGGCGGCAUCUUUAUUUUUAGAGGAACCUGUCUAUUAAUCGAUAAUCCACGUUAAAUUUAACUUGAUUUUAAAUUUUAUAUACCGCCGUCUAGAGUUUAUAUAAAUUUAUUAUUCUAAAUAAUUUUAGAAUGUCAGGUAAAGGUGUAGACCAUAAUUAAGUUAAGAUGGGUUACUAUAAAUACAAUUUAAGGCUAAUUACUUAUAAGUAAUUAUAUAAAAAGGAUUUAAAAGUAAAUAUUUAAUAAUAAKAUUUAUUGAAACUUAAUAAAGAUGUGUAC
rnacentral:rRNA from 1 species